rnacentral:rRNA from 1 species
UACAGAGGGGGCAAGCGUUGUUCGGAAUUACUGGGCGUAAAGCGCGCGUAGGCGGCUUUGUAAGUUAGAGGUGAAAGCCCGGGGCUCAACCCCGGAACUGCCUUUAAGACUGCAUCGCUUGAAUCCGGGAGAGGUGAGUGGAAUUCCGAGUGUAGAGGUGAAAUUCGUAGAUAUUCGGAAGAACACCAGUGGCGAAGGCGGCUCACUGGACCGGUAUUGACGCUGAGGUGCGAAAGCGUGGGGAGCAAGCAGG